GGGAGAGGGAGAGAGACAGAGAGACAGAGAAUGAAUAAGGAAAAGGGACCACAGGGCAGAUGCCCCCUUCCAGGGCAUAUCCCCAGUGAUCCACCUCCUCCAUCCAUGCUCCACGUGCCUACAGUUACCACCCAGUCAGUCCACCAAAAUAGGAUGGACUGAUUAGCUAAUGGCUUUCAUAAUCCAAUCAUUUCACCUCUGAACAUUCCUGCAUUAACACAAGGGGGACUACUAGUACAUAUCCAAACCAUAAUGCAUUAAGUCCUCUAAGUUUAUCCAUGUUGUCACAAAUGAUCGAAUUCCUAUAAUUUGAAGACUGAACAGUAUUUCAUUGUGUAUAUAGUAGAAACUUGUGUAUAUAGCAUAUAGUUUUUAAAAUUCACCUAUCCAUUAACCAACACUUUGGUUGAUUCCAUAUCUUGGCUAGCAUGAAUAAUUUUACAAUAAAUGUGGAGGGCAGAAAACUCUUUGACUUACUGAUUUCAGUUCCUUUGGUGUAUACUCUUAAAUGAAUUACCAGAUCACGUGGUAGUUCUAUUUCCUGUUUUUCAAGGAAGCUCCAUAACAUUUUCCACAAUGGUUGUACUGACUUAUAUUCCCCCCAACAAUGUGUAAGAGCUCCCUUUUUCCACA
rnacentral:lncRNA from 1 species